rnacentral:rRNA from 1 species
GAUGAACGCUGGCGGCGUGCCUAAUACAUGCAAGUCGAGCGAACGGACGAGAAGCUUGCUUCUCUGAUGUUAGCGGCGGACGGGUGAGUAACACGUGGAUAACCUACCUAUAAGACUGGGAUAACUUCGGGAAACCGGAGCUAAUACCGGAUAAUAUUUUGAACCGCAUGGUUCAAAAGUGAAAGACGGUCUUGCUGUCACUUAUAGAUGGAUCCGCGCUGCAUUAGCUAGUUGGUAAGGUAACGGCUUACCAAGGCAACGAUGCAUAGCCGACCUGAGAGGGUGAUCGGCCACACUGGAACUGAGACACGGUCCAGACUCCUACGGGAGGCAGCAGUAGGGAAUCUUCCGCAAUGGGCGAAAGCCUGACGGAGCAACGCCGCGUGAGCGAUGAAGGUCUUCGGAUCGUAAAACUCUGUUAUUAGGGAAGAACAUAUGUGUAAGUAACUGUGCACAUCUUGACGGUACCUAAUCAGAAAGCCACGGCUAACUACGUGCCAGCAGCCGCGGUAAUACGUAGGUGGCAAGCGUUAUCCGGAAUUAUUGGGCGUAAAGCGCGCGUAGGCGGUUUUUUAAGUCUGAUGUGAAAGCCCACGGCUCAUUUUUGGAGGGUCAUUGGAAACUGGAAAACUUGAGUGCAGAAGAGGAAAGUGGAAUUCCAUGUGUAGCGGUGAAAUGCGCAGAGAUAUGGAGGAACACCAGUGGCGAAGGCGACUUUCUGGUCUGUAACUGACGCUGAUGUGCGAAAGCGUGGGGAUCAAACAGGAUUAGAUACCCUGGUAGUCCACGCCGUAAACGAUGAGUGCUAAGUGUUAGGGGGUUUCCGCCCCUUAGUGCUGCAGCUAACGCAUUAAGCACUCCGCCUGGGGAGUACGACCGCAAGGUUGAAACUCAAAGGAAUUGACGGGGACCCGCACAAGCGGUGGAGCAUGUGGUUUAAUUCGAAGCAACGCGAAGAACCUUACCAAAUCUUGACAUCCUUUGACAACUCUAGAGAUAGAGCCUUCCCCUUCGGGGGACAAAGUGACAGGUGGUGCAUGGUUGUCGUCAGCUCGUGUCGUGAGAUGUUGGGUUAAGUCCCGCAACGAGCGCAACCCUUAAGCUUAGUUGCCAUCAUUAAGUUGGGCACUCUAAGUUGACUGCCGGUGACAAACCGGAGGAAGGUGGGGAUGACGUCAAAUCAUCAUGCCCCUUAUGAUUUGGGCUACACACGUGCUACAAUGGACAAUACAAAGGGCAGCGAAACCGCGAGGUCAAGCAAAUCCCAUAAAGUUGUUCUCAGUUCGGAUUGUAGUCUGCAACUCGACUACAUGAAGCUGGAAUCGCUAGUAAUCGUAGAUCAGCAUGCUACGGUGAAUACGUUCCCGGGUCU